rnacentral:lncRNA from 1 species
ACAGACAAUUUCUCUCUUCUAUCACCAACUGAGAGAAACAGAGCUGAAAGUGUUCCCACAGGUCAACCAAGCUGCUGGAGGAGUGCUCUGAGAAGCUGACUCUGAACAUGGCUGCACAAUGAGAGUUCUUGGCAGGCGGCACUGAGGCACCAGAACCAGGCACAGACCCCACGUUGCAACUGGAGAAACAUUUCUGUGGCCACCCAAAAAAAACCCCAGAAGGCCAAUAGCAGCAGGAGAGAGGUAUCAGUGCAGCCUGGAAACUGUGGACAGUGUUCUGGGAAUAGUGAAAUAUGGAACUGACUCAGCAUGAGAAGGUUAUAGAAUCGGAAUCCCCUCUACCCAGGAAAUAUAAACACUUGGCCAC